UAUUCUUUACUGCCGAGUAAAGAAAUUAAGCGUCAAGUUUUAUAUCGUUAGGCCAUAGAAGAUAUGAAACUCUGGCGCUUUUUCUUG
rnacentral:ncRNA from 1 species